UUCUUGAUCAUCCUAAUGUUGUUUCACUGAGGCAUUGCUUCUUUUCAACCACAGAAAAGGAUGAGCUUUAUCUAAAUUUGGUUCUUGAAUAUGUACCUGAGACUGUAUACCGUGUAUUGAGACAUUACAGCAAAGCAAACCAAAGGAUGCCUAUGAUUUAUGUCAAGCUCUAUACAUAUCAGAUUUUCAGAGCUUUGGCUUACAUACACGGGAUAGGAGUCUGCCACAGGGACAUCAAGCCUCAGAAUUUACUGGUCAACCCCCACACACACCAGCUUAAGCUCUGCGAUUUUGGGAGUGCAAAAGUUCUGGUAAUUGUAACUUGUAAUAUAAAGCUUGUGCCUGUACUCGAUAGUUGACUAACUG